rnacentral:tmRNA from 1 species
GGGGAUGUACCGGUUUCGACAGGGAUCAUGCAGCUGGUGAAGCUAUCCGCAUGCAGUGCGUUAAACGGCAAACUUAAAUAUAAACGCUAACGACGAAUUAGCAAUCGCAGCCUGAGUGCUGCCGUCUGACCCGAUGCACUCACACUUCGGGACCCAGGCGCCGACUAUGUGAGAAACGACGCGCAGUAAGCUUUGCCUGCGCGGGCGUAUGAUGAAGCUACUGAAACCGUAAGGGUGUCUGCUCCCGUGCGGCGGAGGGAAUGUCAAAGAACAGACUAUGAUAGUAGAAGAACAGGGAAUUGAUUUUUGGACACGGGUUCGACUCCCGUCAUCUCCAC